rnacentral:sRNA from 1 species
AAAUAAACCCGAUUGACGCGGAAACCAAAAGCUUUUUCUGCUUUUGUUGCAGCAAAAAGCGGGACUGAGG